GCAUACUGAUAUUUUUUCCGAGACGUGACAACUUAUACAUAAUGCAAAACAAUAAUUUAUAAACAACACUUAGGUGUUUGAUACAAAUUGAUUUUAUGAUAUUUAAAUAUCGUGUCGUGGAGUAAUAAAUUACAAAAGUAAUAAUAAGCCGAUGCUUAUCUAAUGGUGUUGACAUUAAAUUUUGCGCUUUAAGAGAUAUGUUUGGUGAAACAUGUGGCAGUGCAUGUACAUAUCAAGCUCCGAUAUCCUAUGCGCGGUAUCGGUGUGGUAAAACCAAUUCCAUGCACCGUUGGCGGCGAGCCAGCAGGACUAUGCUUGCCAGAGCCCGUGUAGUUUCAGUGCGAUGCGAAAGGGAGGUGAGGAGGGGGGGCUCCUCCACCCCAGUGGCGGCGGGAGGUAAAAGAUUAACCCAGUUUUGUUAUUUGUCCACUGUCAGUGGAGUACCUAUUCACAAUACGGCGGGAGUCUGGUCGGAGGAUCCUCUGGCCGAUUAACGUAUUUGUAAAUGAUUAAUGUGUCUGUACUUCGAUGUAAUAGCGACAUGAGAUUGUAAAACGAUGGCUUGUUUUGAUUUAUGUAUUUUUGUCGCAGAAACACUGUCUUUGUCAGUUUAAACAGAUUUUUUUCUAUUCAAUAAAUUAAUUG